rnacentral:RNase_P_RNA from 1 species
GGAGGGAAGCUCAUGCUGAGGCUACAGACAGAGUGUAGGGGGUCACUCUAUGUGCCUCAGGGAAGGUCUGAGACUGGAGCUCCUAGUUGCCCUGCAGGGCAUCCCUUGGAUGAAGGCGGUGGGUCCCCGAGAACUUGGCUCUGAUUUGCCCAGUGAGUGCAAAAGAUGCAGCAAGUACCCAAUGUUGUGCUUCUGCAGAUGCAAAGGCAUCAGGCUUGGCACUGCCCCCACAGUGGCACAUUCAAGCCACAUGGCUGAGAGGGAACUGCCUGUGGUUUCCCAACCCAAUUCAGACUACUCUCUCCACUUU